CUUUUCUACGAAUCGCUGUUAACCAUGCUUCGAGUCUAUGCUUAUCCUUCAAUGGAAAACUACAAAAUAUACAAGAAAUGCUAUUGAGAAAAUCUAUUCCUACAACCAUGUACACUACAAGACGUAGGCAUUUCAAAUAACAAGGAAAACUUUGACAAAUAUUUUCUUUUUAUUCAAUUCUUGCAUCAAUUGUAAUCAGAUUGAGGUUUCGUUUUGCCUUUGGCGAAACUUAAAAUGGCGACUUUUCAAUGAUAAUUACUGAUGGAUCGUGAAGUGAUAUGUGAAGAAUCAGGAAGAAUAGUGUUUCACUAUUAAUAAUAUAACACUUUGUGAUUAUAUAUUGUUAUGAAAGCAAACUUAUAAUAGCACGUGCUAUCUGUACAACGCCACAGUCGAGAGUGAAAGGGGGGACUACCGACUAAGCGAAAGAGACCGCUCGCAAAGACUUGUAACUACUUUUAGCUACUAAUAGAUGGUACCACUGGCACUAUGCACAAAAUUCUUUUGAUAUUUAAUAUAUACAUAAUAAAUAUAUAAUUAUUUUUAUAAUAUUAAAUAUUUAUAUAUCAUAUAAAAAAUGAUUAAUGUUGCAUUUGACUGUAAAAUAUGUGUUGCCAUCUAACGGUAAUAACUAUUAAUUUAUCUUACCGACUGGGGAUAUAUUUAUCGCCAUCUACCUUUAAUAACUAUUACUUUAUUUUACCGAUCGGUAAAGUGAUUUUUUAUAUCAAUUGAAACUUAUCCUAAUAUAAUGCAUUUGCCAUUUGUUUUCUUCAUUUGUGAUAACUAACUGUAAAUACAAAUUUCAUCGUUAUCAAUGUGAAAAAUGAAAAGAACGAACAUUAUAUAAUACAUACAUAAUUGUCCUUGAUUAAUAAAUACAAAUUAGGCUAUAUGUCGGAAUAAUGAAAGUUACAAAA